rnacentral:rRNA from 1 species
GUAUAAGAUACUCACAAACCUAUAACGGGUAGGGGCCAUGAGAGUGGAAGCCUCGAGAUGCCUUCUGAGACAUGAAGGCAGGUCCUACGGGACGCAGCAGGCGCAAAAACUUUCCAAUAGCUUAACGGCUGAGAGGGGAAGCCUGAGUGGCUAUGCACUGCAUAGUCUUUUGCUUUGCUUAAAAAGCAAGGCGAAUAAGUGGUGGGUAAGACGGGUGGCAGCCGCCGCGGUAAUACCCGCGCCACGAAUAGUGACCUCGAUUAUUGGGUCUAAAGCGUCCGUAGCCGGUUCAACAAGUUCUUGGUUAAAUCUAGCAGUUGACUGUUUAGCUUGCUGAGAAUACUGUUUAACUUGGGAUUGGGAAAGGGGAAAGGUAUUCCACGUGUAGGGGUUAAAUCCUUUAAUCCGUGGAGGACCCCCAGUGGCGAAGGCGUUUCCCUGGAACAAGUCCGACGGUGAGGGACGAAGGCUAGGGGAGCAAACGGGAUUAGAUACCCCGGUAGUCCUAGCUGUAAACGAUGCCCGUUUGAUGUUGCAAACUCUACGGGAGUUUGCAGUGUUGGAGCGUAGGUGUUAAACGGGCCACCUGGGGAGUACGGCCGCAAGGUUGAAACUUAAGGGAAUUGGCGGGAGAGCACACAAUGGGUGGAGGCUGCGGUUUAAUCGGAUUCAACGCCGAACAUCUCACAAGGGUCGACAGCAGAAUGAAGGUCAUCCUGAAGGGUUUACCAAACAAGCUGAGAGGCGUUGCAUGGCCAUCGUCAGCUCGUACCUUGAGGCGUGCAGUUAAGUCUGUUAACGAGCGAGACCCACGCUGCCAUUUGCUAUCAUGCUCUAGAUCUAAAAAAUCAAAAACAAGAGCACUAUGGCAGGACCGCUGGUGAUAAACCAGAUGAAGGAGUGGGCGACGGUAGGUCCGUAUGGCCCGGAUACCCUUGGCUACACGCGGCCUACAAUGGUUGGGACAAUGCGUCGCAACGCCGAAAGGCGAAGCCAACCGCCUAAACCCAACCCCAAUUCAGAUUGAGGGUUGUAACUCACCCUCAUGAAGCCGGAAUCCACAGUAAGCAAACGUCAUAAUCGUUCGCUGAAUACGUCCCUGCUCUUUGCACACACCGCCUGUCAAGCCAUGCGAGUAGAGUCUUGGUGGGACUCGCCGAACUGCUCAGUAACACGUAGCUAACCUAACCUCAAGUGGAGGAUAAUCCUGCGAAA